UGUGGAGUCGUCUAAUGGUAGGACAUAGCCCUCUGGAGGCUAGUAUCUUGGUUCGAAUCCAAGCUCCACAG
rnacentral:tRNA from 1 species